rnacentral:misc_RNA from 1 species
GAUGAAGAACGUAGCGAAAUGCGAUAAGUAGUGUGAAUUGCAGAAUUCAGUGAAUCAUCGAAUCUUUGAACGCACAUUGCGCCCCCUGGUAUUCCGGGGGGCAUGCCUGUCCGAGCGUCAUUACAACCCUCAAGCUCUGCUCGGUGUUGGGCCCCGCCGCCCCGGCGGGCCCUAAAGUCAGUGGCGGUGCCAUCCGGCUCCGAGCGUAGUAAUUCUUCUCGCUCUGGAGGUCCGGUUGUGUGCUUGCCAUCAACCCCCAAUUUUUUUCAGGUUGACCUCGGAUCAGGUAGGGAUACCCGCUGAACUUAAGCAUAUCAAUAAGCGGAGGA